rnacentral:rRNA from 1 species
GGAUGCGAUCAUACCAGCACUAAUGCACCGGAUCCCAUCAGAACUCCGAAGUUAAGCGUGCUUGGCGAGAGUAGUACUAGGAUGGGUGACCCCCUGGGAAUCCUCGUGUUGCAUCCC